CGUCGCCUGUUGCAUGACCGUCAAGGCGGUCAUGCCCGUGCGAUUUUUAAUCUGGUCGUGCCGCUGGCUCACAAGGCCACCGCCAUGCGCAUCACAGAUACCGCUGGGAGUCACCAGGGCUGGUCUGGCGCAGUUUCCCCACUGAUCGGCCCAGGCCUUCGGCGAGGCGACGUAGAUAGCACGAAUAGACG
rnacentral:sRNA from 1 species